GAUGAACGCUAGCGGGAGGCUUAAUACAUGCAAGUCGAGGGGUAGCAAGAUUGUAGCAAUACAAUUGUUGACGACCGGCAAACGGGUGCGGAACACGUACACAACCUUCCUACAAGUGGGGAAUAGCCCAGAGAAAUUUGGAUUAAUACCCCGUAACAUAGCGAUGUGGCAUCACAUUGCUAUUAUAGCUUCGGCGCUUGUUGAUGGGUGUGCGGCUGAUUAGAUAGUUGGCGGGGUAACGGCCCACCAAGUCUACGAUCAGUAGCUGAUGUGAGAGCAUGAUCAGCCACACGGGCACUGAGACACGGGCCCGACUCCUACGGGAGGCAGCAGUAAGGAAUAUUGGACAAUGGACGCAAGUCUGAUCCAGCCAUGCCGCGUGAAGGAUUAAGGUCCUCUGGAUUGUAAACUUCUUUUAUAAGGGACGAAAAAAGGUCUUUCUAGAUCGUCUGACGGUACCUUAUGAAUAAGCACCGGCUAACUACGUGCCAGCAGCCGCCGUAAGAC
rnacentral:rRNA from 1 species